UACGAAGGGGGCUAGCGUUGUUCGGAAUCACUGGGCGUAAAGGGCGCGUAGGCGGCCGAUCAAGUCGGGGGUGAAAGCCUGUGGCUCAACCACAGAAUUGCCUUCGAUACUGUUUGGCUUGAGACCGGAAGAGGUAAGUGGAACUGCGAGUGUAGAGGUGAAAUUCGUAGAUAUUCGCAAGAACACCAGUGGCGAAGGCGGCUUACUGGUCCGGUUUCUG
rnacentral:rRNA from 1 species